rnacentral:rRNA from 1 species
UGGAGGCAGCAGUGAGGAAUAUUGCGCAAUGGGCGAAAGCCUGACGCAGCAACGCCGCGUGGGGGAUGAAGGUUCUCGGAUUGUAAACCCCUUUCGAUCGGAACGAAUCCCCUCCUGGUAAAUAAUCAGGAGGAUCGACGGUACCGAGAGAAGAAGCCACGGCUAACUCUGUGCCAGCAGCCGCGGUAAGACAGAGGUGGCUAGCGUUGUUCGGAUUUAUUGGGCGUAAAGCGCACGCAGGCGGUUUGGUAAGUCAGAGGUGAAAGCCCACGGCUUAACCGUGGCAUUGCCUUUGAUACUGCCUUUCUUGAGUAGAGUAGGGGGAAGCGGAAUUCCGAGUGUAGAGGUGAAAUUCGUAGAUAUUCGGAGGAACACCGGUGGCGAAGGCGGCUUCCUGGACUCUAACUGACGCUCAUGUGCGAAAGCGUGGGGAGCAAACAGGAUUAGAAACCCUUGUAGUCCU